UCAGUCGAUCCUACGGGGAGGCAGCAGUGGGGGGAAUAUUGCACAAUGGGCGCAAGCCUGAUGCAGCCAUGCCGCGUGUGUGAAGAAGGCCUUCGGGUUGUAAAGCACUUUCAGUCGUGAGGAAGGUAGUGUAGUUAAUAGCUGCAUUAUUUGACGUUAGCGACAGAAGAAGCACCGGCUAACUCCGUGCCAGCAGCCGCGGUAAUACGGAGGGGUGCGAGCGUUAAUCGGAAUUACUGGGGCGUAAAGCGCAUGCAGGUGGUUUGUUUAAGUCAGAUGUGAAAGCCCGGGGCUCAACCUCGGAAUAGCAUUUGAAACUGGCAGACUAGAGUACUGUAGAGGGGGGUAGGAAUUUCAGGUGUAGCGGUGAAAUGCGUAGAGAUCUGAAGGAAUACCGGUGGCGAAGGCGGCCCCCUGGACAGAUACUGACACUCAGAUGCGAAAGCGUGGGGAGCAAACAGGAUUAGAUACCCUGGUAG
rnacentral:rRNA from 1 species